AGUUCCAUGAGUAGGUCUAUAGCAAAUAC
rnacentral:piRNA from 1 species